CCCCACCCUUUCCCUGGGGAUUAGUGCUUCCUCAGCAGAACCUGUAUCUGAGCUGCCUCUUUGCAAACCCACAGGUCCAGCUCUGGCCCUUGGAAGGGCGUCGCUCACUGCGGAGCUGCUGCAGCACCCGAGGUCUGAACCCAUGGAUUCAGCAUGGAGAGCCCUCAUGUCCAGCAGCCAGGUGGAGCAGACUGCUGGGAAAAGGGACUUCGGUGUGUGACAGCGAGAUUCACCAGUGCCCCUUCCACCACUGCAUAUCAGCCUGGAUGUAAAAUUUACAGGAGAAAUUAUUUUAACACUGGAAAAGCUCUUACUCAUCUGAACCAUCAUUCAAAAUGCAUGAUGAAAGUUGCCAAGCAGAAGUUCUCCAUCCCACUGUCUGCAGGACUCCUGCAGCUCUUCUAAAGCUUAAGGGAUGCAGGAGGCCGAAGAAAACCACAGGGCAGUGAUGGGGCAUCGGUGCAGUGGACAAAGCAACAGGCUGUUCUGGAGCUCAGCAUGUCUGAAGGAAAAUGGAAUCAAAGAGCCAGCCUUUAUGGGUUUCUGGGUUAGCAAUCUAGAGUUUAUCAACAAAUGUUUGCAUGGAAAGCACAACUGUCAAAAGGAAAGUUGGAGUGAUCCAUUUGCAUUUCCGAGAGAGGAGAAGGAGGAAGAUAAGGUUUGAAGGAGGCACCAGGAAGUCAAUCUGUCUGAGCGUGACCUGAAUGUCACCCUGGUUUUUUGUGUUUCUCUAUGCCGUUCUCUAAAGAAAAGCCAGUUAUAUUUCAGAAGAAUAGAGGCCUCUCAUUUUGUUAUUCAUCAUGUGGCACAUGAAACACCAACACUAACUCCGAAACUGUGAGUUAACCUUGUCCUUUCAUCACGUAUGGUCAUCUCAUCACUAGGCUGGUGACUGCUCAAAGCUGCCUGAAAGUGGUUGAGCCCCAGACAACUAAACUUUUAUACAUCAGUACAAAAGCAGCAAAGAAGAUGAGAAGGAAAACUGAUUGUCCCUGGGGACUCAGCAUAGUGGUUUGGGUACUCCUGCUUACAAAGUCACUUGUGGCUUUUAUAAUGAGGAACUUAAGGUUUGAAUUUUCAGACUUAUUAGCUGUACAUUUGUUUGUUUUUUAUUAACUUAAUAUACUACGUGCCACCUUUUCCUUGGGGUAUUGAGUCAAGUGAUGGAUUCAUCCAGUUUAGUUCUAGGUGCAUAGGCU
rnacentral:lncRNA from 12 species